rnacentral:rRNA from 1 species
UGGGGAAUAUUGCACAAUGGGCGAAAGCCUGAUGCAGCAACGCCGCGUGAAGGAAGAAGGGUUUCGGCUCGUAAACUUCUAUCAACAGGGACGAAGGAAGUGACGGUACCUGAAUAAGAAGCCCCGGCUAACUACGUGCCAGCAGCCGCGGUAAUACGUAGGGGGCAAGCGUUAUCCGGAAUUACUGGGUGUAAAGGGUGAGUAGGCGGCAUGGUAAGCCAGAUGUGAAAGCUUGGGCUUACCGAGGAUUGCAUUUGGAACUAUCAAGCUAGAGUACAGGAGAGGAAAGCGGAAUUCCUAGUGUAGCGGUGAAAUGCGUAGAUAUUAGGAAGAACACCAGUGGCGAAGGCGGCUUUCUGGACUGAAACUGACGCUGAGGCACGAAAGCGUGGGGAGCGAACAGGAUUAGAUACCC